GCCUAUGACCAGACAGCCUCUGCUCUGGAGGGCUCCUGUCCUGAGUGCCGACUGCCAGGCCGUCCUCGGGCUGGAAAGGGCAGAGCUGUGGGGAGGUGAGCAGAAGCCCAGGGAAGCACCGGGUGCUGGGCAGGCCAGCCAGCUGCAGGCAUCGCUUUCAGGGUGCAGAAGAGCCAGACCCAGCCCAAGGAGGGAGGCCCAGAGUGCCUCAGUGAUGACCACGUGGGCAUAGCCAGGAGGAACACCCAGGGCGGCGGUAGGUCCCUGGAAGAGGGACACGGUGGGCAUUGCCUGGGGUUGGGAAGCCUCCGUCUCUGCAGGUCACUCGCACCUGGGAGUAUGGCCACGGUCAGCCCCAGAGUCCGGAAGGAAAGCAGGGCCCGGGAGGCCUCAGGACCAGAAACAAACAGAGAAGAUGCCAGAGGCAUCCACAAGGCAAAGUCAGCAAAACAGGGGAUAAAGGAGCUGUUUCAGAGGAAGAAAAGUCCCGGUCCCUGCAGGAGGGGCCAACUCCCAGCCUCAUGCUGCUGCCACAGGGGGCCUGUGGGGCUGGUUCCAGCUGGGGAAGCACAGGGAGACGUCCACCCAGGAAACUGCUCCAAAGCCAGGACAAGUGUGACUGGAGUUGGGAAGAGCAGAGACGAUGGCUCAGCAGUGAACAGCCAGGGGCAGCCCAGGAGGCGAAGCUGGCCCUGCUCACCCUGUCCACAUCCUGAUGCAAGAAGAACAUGGCGUGGAGCUCCGUAAUGAGGCAGCAUCCACUGCACAAACAAGCCCAGAAAAAGGGAGACACACAGGUGACCCAGAGUGGAGUCAGGAAGCCCCGAGAAAGGACGCGGGCUGUGGCUGCUGCAGAACUUGGAGCUCCAAAAUAACAAAGGAAAUGACCUAUGCACAGCCACGAGGAGAGAGAGACGGGGUCCCAGCAUUGCUGGGAGAGGCCAUGAUGCUCAGUGGGCACCCACCAUGAGAUGCCCGGGUCCUGAGCCAGGAGGCGGAGCCACUCCCCACGCACUCUGUCCUGACUUUGGUGACAGGAGCAGCCACCGAAUGCCAUCAUCUGCCAAGGUGACCUCCAAGCACUGGGCAGGCAGAGGCCGCUCCUGUUUUCCAGGAAGCUGGCAAGUGGGCUCUGGAGACGGCAGUUUUAUCUGCAGGCAGAGGGAGCGACCAGGUGCCCGAAGCCCCUCCACCCCGGGACUGCAGCGUCCUGGGACCCUCAAGACAGGAUCCCACGAGGAGGGUUACCAGCUCCCCGGCCGAGGCGUUCUCUUUCCCUACGGCCUGCCUUUUUCAUAAGAUCAAUGCCGUGGAAUCCUACGGUGGGAGGUCUUUUGUCCAUUUCCUCAAUAUAAAACUAACAGGCAAAAAGUUACUCUUAAUAUCCUCUUUGUGCCCUGUUAAUAUCUAUUGACCUUUAAUGAAUAUUCCUAUUUUAUUGCUAACAGUCAUAACUUGUGUUUUCUUUCUGGUUUUUUAAAAUAUUAUUCCUAGGAAAUGAAUUAUUAGCUAAUACUUCCAAAGAACGAACCUGUCAAAGUUCCAUGUUUCCAACUGAACCCAUGUUCCUCCACUAAUACUUGGAUUUUCUUCCACCACGGCCGUUCCUGAGACAGCAAGACCAGUUCCUCCUCCUUCUGCUCCUCCUCAGCCCACUUGACGUGAAGACGACGAGGAUGGAGACCUUGAUCGUGCCCCACUCCCACCUAAUGAAUAGUCUGUAGAUUUUCUCUUCCUUAGGACUUUCUUCAUAACAUUUUCCUUUCUCUAUCUUACUUUAUUAUAAAAAUACAGUAUAUAACACAGAUGCAAAUUAUGUGUUAAUUGAGUUUUUAUGUUAUCUGUAAGGCUUCCAGUCAACAGUUGGCCCUCAGGAGCUAAGUUUUGGGGGAGUCCAAAGUUGUAUGAGUAUUUUUCACUGUGUAGGGGAUCAGUGCCCAUAAACCUCAGGUUAUUUAAGGGUCUACUGUAUAAAGUAAAUAUUGGACUCAUAAUAACAAUAGCAGCUAUAACAUCUUUGUAGCACUUAGCCUUGGUACAGGUGCCUUCAAUAUGCUAACUAAUUUAACUUUUAACCAAGCCAGUUCUUUAUGUAAAAAAAACGAUUCAUCAUAAUUUAAUAUCUUAUACAUGUUCCAUUCAAUUUUCUAAAUUUGGCUAAUAUAAAAUAAGGUUUAAUAUUACCAUGAUUUGAUCAACAUUUCAAAAUUACAUAUAUUUCUCUUACAAAUUCAUUGUUAUUGACAUCAAAUUUAUAACCACGUUAUUGGCAUUGUUUAACCACACAGUAAAAUAAGUGUAAUCAGUGAAAAAAAUAGAAUAAAAUCUAUAUAGUGGAGA
ensembl:lncRNA novel transcript